UUCACAGUGCAAAAGCUUUUAUCUUGAUGAAGUCCCAAUAGUUUAUUUGUGCUUUUGUUUCCCUUGCCUCCAGAGACAUAUCAAGUAAGACAUUGCUGCCACUGAAGUCAAAGAGGUAGUUGCCUGCUUUCUCCUCGAGGAUUUUGAUGGCUUCCUGUCUUACAUUUAGGUCUUUCACCAUUUGAGCUUAUAUUUGUGUAUUAUUUUCAUCCUUUCUUG